AAAGCGCAUGCAGGUGGUUUGUUAAGUCAGAUGUGAAAGCCCGGGGCCCCACCUCGGAACCGCAUUUGAAACUGGCAGACUAGAGUGCUGUAGAGGGGGGUAGAAUUUCAGGUGUAGCGGUGAAAUGCGUAGAGAUCUGAAGGAAUACCAGUGGCGAAGGCGGCCCCCUGGACAGACACUGACACUCAGAUGCGAAAGCGUGGGGAGCAAACAGGAUUAGAUACCCUGGUAGUCCACGCCGUAAACGAUGUCUACUUGGAGGUUGUGGCCUUGAGCCGUGGCUUUCGGAGCUAACGCGUUAAGUAGACCGCCUGGGGAGUACGGUCGCAAGAUUAAAACUCAAAUGAAUUGACGGGGGCCCGCACAAGCGGUGGAGCAUGUGGUUUAAUUCGAUGCAACGCGAAGAACCUUACCUACUCUUGACAUCCAGAGAAUUCGCUAGAGAUAGCUUAGUGCCUUCGGGAACUCUGAGACAGGUGCUGCAUGGCUGUCGUCAGCUCGUGUUGUGAAAUGUUGGGUUAAGUCCCGCAACGAGCGCAACCCUUAUCCUUGUUUGCCAGCACGUAAUGGUGGGAACUCCAGGGAGACUGCCGGUGAUAAACCGGAGGAAGGUGGGGACGACGUCAAGUCAUCAUGGCCCUUACGAGUAGGGCUACACACGUGCUACAAUGGCGCAUACAGAGGGCUGCAAGCUAGCGAUAGUGAGCGAAUCCCAAAAAGUGCGUCGUAGUCCGGAUCGGAGUCUGCAACUCGACUCCGUGAAGUCGGAAUCGCUAGUAAUCGUAGAUCAGAAUGCUACGGUGAAUACGUUCCCGGGCCUUGUACACACCGCCCGUCACACCAUGGGAGUGGGCUGCAAAAG
rnacentral:rRNA from 1 species